ACCGGACGUCCGUACGCAAAUAACGUAUCGAUCAGACAGCGACGACGACGACGCGCCGGUUUUAAAUGGCCUGACCUUUCUUGCCGUGGUGACCGCGCAGUUAUUUACAAAUGAUAGAAGUAACCGUACACUACGCCGCUAUAUUAUCGUAUAAUAUUAUAAUACGUAUGCACGAGAAUUCGUAAUUUAAUAAUAAUAAUAAUAAUAAUAACAAUAGUCACGUUCAAAUGUCGCCCGGGAAGAAACCCGAAAUGACAAAGGAUGCUGCGAACGCCGUCCUUUGUAACGUUUAUUAGCGUGACAGGCGACAUCAGUAGCGCGUACCGCGCUCGACAAUAAUAAUAUAAUAAACGGUAUUAUUAUUAGAGGACGAGAGUCCUGUGUCUUGUCUAUUUUUUUUUUCAUUUUUAUCAG